CACCAGGAAAACUUCAGAGAGACCGUCUUCUCCGCCGCCCCAAGCUUCAGCCACCAGCAAAACUUCCGAAGGACCAUCUUCUCCACCGCCCCAAGCGAGGUUAAGUGACCUUGGCUGGUAGCCUUUGCUAGACCUCAUGUGAUGGGGGUGGGGUGCAUGAGCAUAUAGCAGAAGUAGAAAAAUAGCACCCAGAUUUGGGCCUAUUUUAUUUUAGAUUUACUAUAAACAGGGCCACAGGUGCACCCUAUAGCUAGCAGCUCUUGAUUGAGGCUGAGAUUAUGAGCCACCAACAUCUGUGACUGAAGUUAGUCCUUAGUUGCCCAUGGAAAUAAAUUUUUUGCUUGCUGUAACAAGGUGAUUGGUGAACGUGGAUGGUUUUUUUACCCUAUGAACUCGUUGUACUCCCACAAGAAUUUGGUAUCAUCAUGGUGUAAUUUACUGCUUGUG
rnacentral:lncRNA from 1 species